GCAAGUCGAGCGCACCCUUCGGGGCGAGCGGCGGACGGGUUAGUAACGCGUGGGAACAUACCUUUCUCUAAGGAAUAGCCAUUGGAAACGAUGAGUAAUACCGUAUACGCCCUUUGGGGGAAAGAUUUAUCGGUGAGGGAUUAGCCCGCGUUAGAUUAGAUAGUUGGUGGGGUAAUGGCCUACCAAGUCUACGAUCUAUAGCUGGUUUGAGAGGAUGAUC
rnacentral:rRNA from 1 species